UGUAAAGCCUAUUCCUCCACCUGCGCCAAUAUAUCAUAAACCACUUCCACCACCGGUGCCAACAUAUCAUAAACCUCUUCCUCCACCAGUGCCGGUAUAUGAGAAACCUCUUCCUCCACCUGUGCCAAUAUAUCAUAAGCCAAUUCCUCCACCAACACCAACAUACAAGAAGCCUCUUCCUCCGCCUGUGCCAAUAUAUCAUAAGCCAAUUCCUCCACCUGUGCCAAUAUAUCAUAAGCCAAUUCCUCCACCAACACCAACAUACAAGAAGCCUCUUCCUCCGCCUGUGCCAAUAUAUCAUAAGCCAAUUCCUCCACCUGUGCCAAUAUAUCAUAAGCCAAUUCCUCCACCAACACCAACAUACAAGAAACCUCUUCCUCCUCCAAUUCCCAUUUUCAAGAAGCCAUAUCCACCAAAGUUUAUUCAUCCACUUCUACCUCCAAAAUUUAAGCAUCCCCUUAUACCACACGUUCCAAUUUAUAAACCACCAUUUUUUAAACCUCUUCCUCCUUUUCCAAAGUUGCCUCCAUUCAAGAAGCUGCCAUU
rnacentral:lncRNA from 1 species